AUACGGAGGGUGCAAGCGUUGUCCGGAUUUAUUGGGUUUAAAGGGUGCGUAGGUGGCGUGUUAAGUCAGUGGUGAAAGCCUGCAGCUCAACUGUAGAGGUGCCAUUGAUACUGACAUGCUUGAGUAUGGACGAGGUAGGCGGAAUUUGUGGUGUAGCGGUGAAGUGCAUAGAUACCACAAAGAACACCGAUAGCGAAGGCAGCUUACUGGACCAUAACUGACACUGAGGCACGAAAGUGUGGGUAGCGAACAGGAUUAGAAACCCUAGUAGUCC
rnacentral:rRNA from 1 species